GCUCCGGUGGCCAAGUGGUUAGAGCGUCUGCCACUGAUGCGGGAGGUCGUGGGUUCGAUCCCCGGUCGACUCA